UUUUCUUCAAGAGAGAGUUCAACCGGACGUGGCCCUUUCUUGUUGGUUUCGCUGUAACUGGAACUAUCAUCACCAAGUUCUCCCUCGGUCUCACUGAGGAAGAUGCGAAGAAUUCGCCUUUCGCUCAGAAGCACAAGAGGUGAUCCCAAUUGAAUUCAAAUGCUCAUCUGGUUUGAGGCUUUUGGUUGUUUCCAUUCUUUUCUUUUUUUCAAUUAACUACAAAAAUAACAUAGGACAUCAUCAGUUGUGAGUAUUCUACUCAUGAAUUGUUAUUCUUGUAUUGCCAUUAAGGUUUUUUUGCCUUUGAACAAUGUUAAAACACCUUUUCAACCGUCUUCAGGCCUGGUAUCCUUUGACAUUGGAUGAUCAUUUUGAGAAUAAUAAUAAACAUGACAAUUUAUGCCACUGUUUGCCAAUUUAUUUGUCAUGAACUUGUGACGGAUAAGGAUGCAGAACUUGCGUAUCUUUGUUCCUAGUUUUAUGAGGCCAUCGACCUAUACAUUUUUUCAAGUUUUAUACUUUUAAUUUAUUCCAACAGAGACACAUCCAGUGGACUCAUAGAUGCUAAAGUUUUACAUUUGGAACAUACCAUGUCCGAGACAUAACAGCAACUGCGAGUUUGUGCCCCAAACCCCCAACUGUCAGUGGUUUGCCGCUAAACAAAAUGCAAUGGUGGAUAAGUGAGCGGUUGUCUCGUUGGCAAGAAAAUUUUAAACAACUACAUUCCUUUCAGUUUAGGGUAUCGGACACAGAG